AGUGAACGCUGGCGGUAGGCCUAACACAUGCAAGUCGAACGGCAGCACAGUAAGAGCUUGCUCUUACGGGUGGCGAGUGGCGGACGGGUGAGGAAUACAUCGGAAUCUACUUUUUCGUGGGGGAUAACGUAGGGAAACUUACGCUAAUACCGCAUACGACCUACGGGUGAAAGCAGGGGAUCUUCGGACCUUGCGCGAUUGAAUGAGCCGAUGUCGGAUUAGCUAGUUGGCGGGGUAAAGGCCCACCAAGGCGACGAUCCGUAGCUGGUCUGAGAGGAUGAUCAGCCACACUGGAGCUGAGACACGGUCCAGACUCCUACGGGAGGCAGCAGUGGGGAAUAUUGGACAAUGGGCGCAAGCCUGAUCCAACCAUACCGCGUGGGUGAAGAAGGCCUUCGGGUUGUAAAGCCCUUUUGUUGGGAAAGAAAAGCAGCAGGUUAAUACCCCGCUGUUCUGACGGUACCCAAAGAAUAAGCACCGGCUAACUUCGUG
rnacentral:rRNA from 1 species